AGCGAACGCUGGCGGCAGGCUUAACACAUGCAAGUCGAGCGGGCGUAGCAAUACGUCAGCGGCAGACGGGUGAGUAACGCGUGGGAACGUACCUUUUGGUUCGGAACAACACAGGGAAACUUGUGCUAAUACCGGAUAAGCCCUUACGGGGAAAGAUUUAUCGCCGAAAGAUCGGCCCGCGUAUGAUUAGCUAGUUGGUGAGGUAACGGCUCACCAAGGCGACGAUCAGUAGCUGGUCUGAGAGGAUGAUCAGCCACAUUGGGACUGAGACACGGCCCAAACUCCUACGGGAGGCAGCAGUGGGGAGUAUUGGACAAUGGGGGCAACCCUGAUCCAGCCAUGCCGCGUGAGUGAUGAAGGCCCUAGGGUUGUAGAGCUCUUUUGUGCGGGAAGAUAAUGACGGUACCGCAAGAAUAAGCCCCGGCUAACUUCGUGCCAGCAGCCGCAGUAACAC
rnacentral:rRNA from 1 species